AAUAUCAAUAAUGGCCUUAAACAAGUUUGACUAAAGUUUUAAACGAACAAUUUUUACAUAGCUUAACGAAAGAACAAAUUCUACUUAGAUAUGAAUUUAACGUUGCUACGUCAUUGAUGGAUAAACUAUUGUAUACCUCAAGUGUAGAUAUCAGUAAUAGUAAGGCAGAUUCAGCACAAAAAUAAUUUAAAAUUGAUAAGACAGUUAUUUGUGGUGCUGGUGUAUGUGAUGAUGACAGUGAUGAAAGAAGUUUUUUAGCUUCAUUGUCUCCGAAACAACCUGUUUCAAUAAAUAAGAUAAAUUUUUAAGCUAAAUCAAAACUAAAAUUACCCCUAAAACCCCAAAACCCACUCACAAGUUCAAAUCAAUCAAAAGUGACGAAUAAUGAAGAAAGCGAAAAUCAAUCUAAUUUAUUGGACAGAAGAUUUUUAACAUUUAAAAAAAAGUGUUUGGAUAUGUUUGUUUCUAUCCAAUAUGACAUGAAAAAGAUACUAAAUUGUUUGGAGCGAAUUGAAACACAAGUUGUGUCAAUUCGUAACAGUUCUGCUAUUGGAUUGAUAGAUAAGCCACAAAUAAAUCACUGGAAUCAGUUACCACUACUAACAGAUGAUGACCUUAUUUUGCUGGAGAAAAUUCUCUGCAACAAAAACAUGUUAGAGUCACUGACAAAUCGUUUGGCUUCCGUUGGUGGUAUUAAAUACAAUCAAAAGUUUAUUAUAUUCAGGACAAGACUAAAAAGGAAAGAAAUCUUUUGCAAAACUGAAAUGUUGCAGAGCUGUAAUAGCUGCUGUUAUGAAACAGUUUCCUGAUUCAACUGAAGCCAAAAUCAAAAUGAAAAUCAGCAGUUUUUUAGCGCAAGCUAUAGAUUAAGAUGGAGGCAGAAAAAAACGUAGCAUCUGCAAAAGUAGUGGCGAUGAAGUUGAACAUGAGAAAAAUGUCUUGGAUACUCAGCCUAAUGAAUUUAAGAAAUGAUAUAAAAUGUUUUUUUUUUAA